rnacentral:rRNA from 1 species
AGUGAGGAAUAUUGGUCAAUGGGCGCAAGCCUGAACCAGCCAUGCCGCGUGCAGGAUGACGGUCCUAUGGAUUGUAAACUGCUUUUGUACGGGAAGAAACACUCCUACGUGUAGGAGCUUGACGGUACCGUAAGAAUAAGGAUCGGCUAACUCCGUGCCAGCAGCCGCGGUAAUACGGAGGAUCCAAGCGUUAUCCGGAAUCAUUGGGUUUAAAGGGUCCGUAGGCGGUCCUGUAAGUCAGUGGUGAAAGCCCAUCGCUCAACGAUGGAACGGCCAUUGAUACUGCAGGACUUGAAUUAUCAGGAAGCAACUAGAAUAUGUAGUGUAGCGGUGAAAUGCUUAGAGAUUACAUGGAAUACCAAUUGCGAAGGCAGGUUGCUACUGAUGGAUUGACGCUGAUGGACGAAAGCGUGGGUAGCGAA